GUAAGUGUGUAGGUAAAAAUGCAGUGGUUUAUUGUUUUGUACACGAAAAGCAAUAAUGUCUAAGAAGCCUGUAGUACACCGAAUGACUGAUAGGGGGUCAGUAUGUAGGUGAAAAAUGCAGUGGUUUGUUGGUUUGUACAUAAAAUGCAAUAAUGUCUGAGAAGCCUGUAGUACACAGAAUGACUGGUAGGUGUCAGUGUGUAGGUGAAAAUGCAGUGG